CAACCUGAAACCUGAUGGAGG
rnacentral:piRNA from 1 species